CCCCCCGAAACUAAGCGAGCUACUUUUAAACAGCUCAUGGGAGCCAACCCAUCCCUGUCGCAAAAGCGUGGGAAGAUUUAAAAGUAGAGGUGACAUACCAAUCGAGCCUAGAGAUAGCUGGUUAUUCAGGAAAUGGAUUUAAGUCCAACUUUAAGUUUUCUUAGUAACACUAAACAAAAUUAUAACUUAAGAGUCACUCAAAUAAGGGACAGCCUAUUUGAACAAGGAAACAGCCUACACUUUAGGGUAAUGACUACUAAUAUGACUAAGUAGGCCUAAAAGCAGCCAACUUCCAAAAAGCGCCCAAGCUUCACCAUAACUAUUACUAAUCCCACAAUUAACUCACAACCCACAACCUAUACUGAAUGAUCCCAUACUUCUAUGGGAGACAUUAUGCUAGAACUAGUAACAAGAAGAAGAACUUCUCCUAAAUGCAAGCGUAAACCAGAAUGAACACAUCACUGGCACCUACCGGCACAAUAAACAGUAUUAACAUCMCAAGAAAACCUUACUGCCACCAGCGUCAAUCUUACACAAGAGCAUUACCGGAAAGAUUAAAAAAUGAGGAAGGAACUCGGC
rnacentral:rRNA from 1 species